rnacentral:rRNA from 1 species
GAUGAACGCUGGCGGCGUGCCUAAUACAUGCAAGUCGAGCGAACAGAUGAGGAGCUUGCUCCUCUGACGUUAGCGGCGGACGGGUGAGUAACACGUGGGUAACCUACCUAUAAGACUGGGAUAACUUCGGGAAACCGGAGCUAAUACCGGAUAAUAUAUUGAACCGCAUGGUUCAAUAGUGAAAGACGGUUUUGCUAUCACUUAUAGAUGGAUCCGCGCCGCAUUAGCUAGUUGGUAAGGUAACGGCUUACCAAGGCAACGAUGCGUAGCCGACCUGAGAGGGUGAUCGGCCACACUGGAACUGAGACACGGUCCAGACUCCUACGGGAGGCAGCAGUAGGGAAUCUUCCGCAAUGGGCGAAAGCCUGACGGAGCAACGCCGCGUGAGUGAUGAAGGUCUUCGGAUCGUAAAACUCUGUUAUUAGGGAAGAACAAAUGUGUAAGUAACUAUGCACGUCUUGACGGUACCUAAUCAGAAAGCCACGGCUAACUACGUG